CAUGGGACGCUAGUUGUGAACAAGGUGUGAAGAGCCUAUUGAGCUACUCAAGAGUCCUCCGGCCCCUGAAUGCGGCUAAUCCCAACCACGGAGCGAGUGCUCACAAUCCAGUGAGUGGCUUGUCGUAACGCGCAAGUCUGUGGCGGAACCGACUACUUUGGGUGUCCGUGUUUCCUUUUAUUUUUACUAUGGCUGCUUAUGGUGACAAUCUAGGAUUGUUAUCAUAUAGCUUUUGGAUUGGCCAUCCGGUG
rfam:Human coxsackievirus A19 strain 8663, complete genome.